UGUUUUUACUAGUAACUCUCAAUCGUUUAUCUUCUUAUCUCGAUAAUUUUAUCUCGAUAAGAAGAUAAACGAUUGAGAGUUAUU